rnacentral:rRNA from 1 species
GAUGAACGCUGGCGGCGUGCCUAAUACAUGCAAGUCGAGCGAACAGACGAGGAGCUUGCUCCUCUGACGUUAGCGGCGGACGGGUGAGUAACACGUGGAUAACCUACCUAUAAGACUGGGAUAACUUCGGGAAACCGGAGCUAAUACCGGAUAAUAUAUUGAACCGCAUGGUUCAAUAGUGAAAGACGGUUUUGCUGUCACUUAUAGAUGGAUCCGCGCCGCAUUAGCUAGUUGGUAAGGUAACGGCCUACCAAGGCAACGAUGCGUAGCCGACCUGAGAGGGUGAUCGGCCACACUGGAACUGAGACACGGUCCAGACUCCUACGGGAGGCAGCAGUAGGGAAUCUUCCGCAAUGGGCGAAAGCCUGACGGAGCAACGCCGCGUGAGUGAUGAAGGUCUUCGGAUCGUAAAACUCUGUUAUCAGGGAAGAACAAAUGUGUAAGUAACUAUGCACGUCUUGACGGUACCUAAUCAGAAAGCCACGGCUAACUACGUG